CAGUCGCCGCGGGAAAACGAAGGGGGCUAGCGUUGCUCGGAAUGACUGGGCGUAAAGGGCGUGUAGGCGGCCUGGGGCGUCCCAUGUGAAAGGCCACGGCUCAACCGUGGAGGAGCGUGGGAUACGCUCAGGCUAGAGGGUGGGAGAGGGUGGUGGAAUUCCCGGAGUAGCGGUGAAAUGCGCAGAUACCGGGAGGAACGCCGAUGGCGAAGGCAGCCACCUGGUCCACUUCUGACGCUGAGGCGCGAAAGCGUGGGGAGCAAACCGGAUUAGAUACCCGAGUAGUCCCUGUCUCUUAUAC
rnacentral:rRNA from 1 species